AUUGAACGCUGGCGGCAGGCCUAACACAUGCAAGUCGAACGAGUGGCGGACGGGUGAGUAAUGUCUGGGAAACUGCAAGCUGGAGGGGGAUAACUAAUGGAAACGGUAGCUAAUACCGCAUAACAUCAGAUGAGCCCAGAUGGGAUUAGCUAGUUGGUGGGGUAACGCCUCACAAAGGCGACGAUCCCUAGCCGGUCGGAGAGGAUGACCGGCAACACUGGAACUGAGACACGGUCCAGACUCCUACGGGGGGCAGCAGUGGGAAAUAUUGGACAAUGGGCGCAAGCCUGAUGAGGCAAUGCCGGGUGUAUGAAGAAGGUCUUGGGGUUGUAAAGUACGUUCAUCGGGGAGGCGUUACCCGCAGAAGAAGCACCGGCUAACUCCGUGCCAGCAGCCGCGGUAAUUC
rnacentral:rRNA from 1 species